rnacentral:rRNA from 1 species
CAGCAGCCGCGGUAAAACGAAGGGUGCAAGCGUUACUCGGAAUUACUGGGCGUAAAGCGUGCGUAGGUGAUGGUUUAAGUCCGUUGUGAAAGCCCUGGGCUCAACCUGGGAAUUGCAGUGGAUACUGGGUCACUAGAGUGUGGUAGAGGAUAGUGGAAUUUCCGGUGUAGCAGUGAAAUGCGUAGAGAUCGGAAGGAACAUCUGUGGCGAAGGCGACUAUCUGGGCCAACACUGACACUGAGGCACGAAAGCGUGGGGAGCAAACAGGAUUAGAUACCCGGGUAGUCCCUGUCUCUUAUAC